AUAUGCAUCCCCAAGGAUUGGAAGUGUGUCCACCAAAGAACCCUACAUGCAGUGGAUGUUACUGGGCACAACAGCAAAUUAAUUUUAUUGCCCCCAACAUAUCCAGAGAUAGAGCUGGGAGCUGUGCCCUGAAGAUUAAAGCAAACUUCAUGUGCUUGGAUUGAGAAUGUGGAGACACUGUGGAUGUCUGUACCAGCUCUGUGUGAGUCCCGGUGAGUCUGACUGAGGGAGAUAUUGAAACUCCAGCGUGUUCCAUGGAUGAAAACAGGUGUUGUCCGUGUGCCUGCUACGUGGGAGCAACUACUCUGUCCAACAGGAGAGGGGAACAACUGAUGGAAUAUCCCAUUUAUCCAGAUGAGACCGUUACAUAUAUUUGGCAAGUGACUCAAGGAGAUGCCCCAUUGUCAUCUGAUCCACGUUGUCUAACAAGACUGAACU